CAGUCGCCGCGGGAAUACGUAGGUGGCAAGCGUUGUCCGGAAUAAUUGGGCGUAAAGGGCUCGCAGGCGGUUUCUUAAGUCUGAUGUGAAAGCCCCCGGCUCAACCGGGGAGGGUCAUUGGAAACUGGGAAACUUGAGUGCAGAAGAGGAGAGUGGAAUUCCACGUGUAGCGGUGAAAUGCGUAGAGAUGUGGAGGAACACCAGUGGCGAAGGCGACUCUCUGGUCUGUAACUGACGCUGAGGAGCGAAAGCGUGGGGAGCGAACAGGAUUAGAUACCCCGGUAGUCCCUGUCUCUUAUAC
rnacentral:rRNA from 1 species